rnacentral:rRNA from 1 species
UACGAAGGGGGCUAGCGUUGCUCGGAAUCACUGGGCGUAAAGCGCACGUAGGCGGCUUUUUAAGUCAGGGGUGAAAUCCUGGAGCUCAACUCCAGAACUGCCUUCGAUACUGUCGAUCUCGAGUUCGGGAGAGGUGAGUGGAACUGCGAGUGUAGAGGUGAAAUUCGUAGAUAUUCGCAAGAACACCAGUGGCGAAGGCGGCUCACUGGCCCGAUACUGACGCUGAGGUGCGAAAGCGUGGGGAGCAAACAGG